AGCGAACGCUGGCGGCAGGCCUAACACAUGCAAGUCGAACGAAGUCUUCGGACUUAGUGGCGGACGGGUGAGUAACACGUGGGAACGUACCUUUUGGUUCGGAACAACUCAGGGAAACUUGAGCUAAUACCGGAUGAGCCCUUAGGGGGAAAGAUUUAUCGCAGAAAGAGCGGCCCGCGUUAGAUUAGCUAGUUGGUGAGGUAAAGGCUCACCAAGGCUACGAUCUAUAGCUGGUCUGAGAGGAUGAUCAGCCACACUGGGACUGAGACACGGCCCAGGCUCCUACGGGAGGCAGCAGUGGGGAAUCUUGCGCAAUGGGCGAAAGCCUGACGCAGCCAUGCCGCGUGAAUGAUGAAGGUCUUAGGAUUGUAAAAUUCUUUUACCAGGGACGAUAAUGACGGUACCUGGAGAAAAAGCCCCGGCUAACUUCGUGCCAGCAGCCGCGGUAAAAC
rnacentral:rRNA from 1 species